AAAAAGACAUCAGUCGCAAUACACAAGAUGGACCCUAGCCCUAGAGACCUAAGAGAUCCGCCAUUUUCAAUACAUAAAAUAGACCCCCCCCUUAAGAUCGUCUUUUUCGAGACCCCCCCCCCAAUCGAUUCAUCUUCUUCAGCCGUUUUCAAUAUAGGAACACCCCAAAAACAGACCUCAUCCCAACGUCAUCCCUCUCUAAAACAAAACUAGCAACAACCAACGUUCACAUGUUCCGCCAUGAAUGGCCACCCCUAAGAGAAAAUCUAGCCACUCUCACUUCAGCUUCCUCAUUCGAGAUGUUGCUUUGCCGGAAUUGAUCACCGGCGAGUGACGACGCCACUAGCGACGGAUCUAGCUGGAAACCCCAAAAACACAGCCGUGAUUCUAUCACAUAUACAAAAAAAGAAAAAUAUUCUAGUUUUUUUCUUCCAUUUUUCUGACUUUCACCUCAAAAAUCAGAGUUGUUGUCCUCUGAUUUUCGUUCCAGAAUGAAGGUCAUUUGAUGUCGUGUAUGGCUUCAAAUUUUCUUGUACCGAUUCAAGGUUCUGUCAAGGUCCGUGUUCGAGAGUCCUGUCCAAUUUGAGUUCCGAUCGUGGUUGUGGUUUGUUUCCAUCCGUGUAACUGCUGGAAUUUUUAUUAAUUGAAGGCAACUUGAGGUUCAAUUCUUUCCUCUUUCAUUCUAUUCUAAUAUCGAGUUUGAUAUGUUUGAGACCUCUUUCUAUGGUUUUGUUUGAUCCUUGUAGUUGUAAAUCUCCCACGUUGAAUUAACUGAAAGUAUCCCUAGCAGGUGUCCACAUUGGAAUUGGUCUUUAAUCGUUCAAGUAAAAGAAUGCAUACCAAUUAUGUGACUUCUACUUAUUUGUUAAUGUGGAUCGAUACUCAGAAUUCUAAUGGUGUAUGAGUACCAUUCUAUUUAUCUAGCUCAUUUUAUGGUUUCUGAAACAAUUAUGCUAAAAGCUUAUCAUCUUAGACAUUCUUAUUAGACAAGAUGUUCCUUUCCCAUAUUGAAAAUAUUGUGUGAUUGGUAAAACGUGGUGAUGGAACAUUUAUUGACCGGAAAUAAGUAUAUGAAUUGAUCGAAUAUAAGUAUGAAUCAAAGUACGCGUUCGUGCAAUUUUGGACGAAACAAUCUUAAUAAUAAUAAAAUGCUAUAAAUCAUGUAUACGAUCUCUUGACACGAGUAUGAUUUAAAGAAUGAAUAUUCUUAGAAAAAUGGAUUGUCACCAGAAUACUUUAUGCUAAAGAUGUAUUAGCUACUGUCUGCAAAGUCUUUGUUUUGUUUCUGUAGUUUUAUGACAAGUUUCCAGGAUUCUUGAGCUCUUGUAAGUCUUAAAACACAUUUGAACUAUAAGGAAGAAGACUUAAUUUUUGUGGUGACCCAAAAGUUCAUCACUUAAUUUAGAAAUGAAUUCUGCAUUCCGAGGCCUUAAACCCUCUUUUUGCAUCACCUCAAUUUGCGUGCGCAGUCCAGGCGUGUAGUCGAAAAGUUAAUAUGUGAACAUCUGUGAAAAAUGAUGAAUUUUGACUUUAAAAUGAAUUUAAGUUGACUUCAGUCAACACUUUGGGUAAAUGGAUCCGGACCCAUGAUUUGACGGUUUCGGAGGGUUUGUAGGAAAAUAUGGGACUUGGGCGUAUGCCCGGAAUCAAAUUUCGAGGUCCCAAGCCCGAGAAAUGAAUUUUUGAAAGAAAUUAUUUUGCUAAAUUAAUUAUGAAGUAAAGAAGAGAAUUUAUGUAUGAAACCAUUGGUAUUGGGACCGUAUUUUGGUUUCGAAGCCCGGUACAGGUCUUAUAUAUAAUUUGAGUUGAACCUGUGAAAUUUUGUAAGAAACGGACUUGAAAUGAUAUGAAUCGAACCUUAUUUGGAAAAAUUGGAAAAUUUGAUGUUCUUAAGAAAAUUUCAUGUUUUUGAUGCUAAAUUCAUAGUUGUUGAUGUUAUUUGAGAGAUUUGAAUGCACGAGUAAGUCUGUAUGAUGUUUUUAGGUUGGUGUGUAUGUUUGGUUUGGAGCCCCGAGGGCUCGGGUGAGUUUUGGAUAGGCCACGGAGUAGAAUUGGACUUAGGAAAAAUGCAGGUUUCAGCUGUUCUAUUGCAGGCUUGCAGGCUGCCUCGCAAAUGCGAGUUCGCAAAUGCGAACUAGCCCAGGCCAGCCUUCUCUUGCAAAUGCGAGUUUUCCAUUGCAAAUGCGAUGUUCCCCAUUUUGGCCAGUCGUCGCAAAUGCGACAUAAUGUUCGCAAAAGCGACUUCGCAAAUGCGAAGGUCACUUUGCAAAUGCGAUAACAGCCGAGUCUGGGUUCGCAAUUGCGAUACCUUCCACCUGUAAAUUUACACUUAGAUGAAUUUUCAACCAUUUUUCAUAUCUUCUCAAAACAUAAACUCUCUUGGGCGAUUUUCCAAAGAAAACUUCUUCUCCAAAUCAAUUGUAAGUCGUUUGUAACCAUUUUUCUUCAAUCUUUAACAUCUUUUCACAUGAUUUUAACUCAAAAUCAGUGAUUUUCAUGGGGGAAAUUGAGUGUUUCGGGUAGAACCUAGGUUUUUCAAAAAUUGGGGAUUUGGACCUCGAUUUGAGGUCCGGUUUCAAAACAAAUAAUAUAUUUGGAUUAGUGGGGGAAUGGGUAUCCGUUUUUGGUUCGAGCCUCGGGUUUUGACCAUGUGGGCCCGGGGACGAUUUUGACUUUUUGGGUAAAAUUUUGAAAAACUUAUUUUUGUGCAUUAGAAUUGAUUUAUUUAGCAUUUAUUGACGUAAUUAAGUAACUUGUGGCUAGAUACGAGCGAAUUGUAGUGGAAUCAAGAGGUAAAGCAAUAAUUGAGACUUGAAUUGUGUUAGUAGCAUUGAGGUAAGUUUUUGGUAUAACCUUAGCUUGAGGGAUUAGGAGUCGUGUCUUAUUUUCUACAUGUUAACUAUGGAGUACAGCAUAUAGGCAUGGUGACGAGUAUCUAUACGUCGGUGUCAGGCAUGCCCAUGAGUCUUGUAUGGUAAUUGUUAUGACUCUGUUGCGGUUUAUGUCAUAUUUUAUUCCCUAACCGGGAUGUGUGUUGUGAUAUUAUUGUUCCCUUUUCGGGAUGUUGUUGUAAUAUUAUUGUUGCCUUGCCGGGAUGUUGUUAUAUUGCUACUGUUCCCUUGCCAGGAUUCUUUUAUGAUUGGUGCUGAUAAAUGAAAUGGGAGCGGGUUGCACGCCUGCAAUGGUAAUAUGUGAAAUGGGAGCGGGUUGCAUGCCUGCAACGGUAAUAUAUGAAAUAGGAGCGGGUUGCACGUCUGCAACGGUAAUAUGUGAAAUGGAAGCGGGUUGGAUACAUGCAACGAUAAUAUGUGAAAUGGGAGCGGGUUGCACGCCAGCAACGGUAAUAUGUGAAAUGGGAGCGGGCUGCACGCCUGCAACGGUGAUAUGUAAAAUGGGAGCGGGUUGCACGCCUACAAAGGUAAUAUAUAAAAUAGGAGGGGGUUGCACGCCUGUAAUGGUAUCACAUGAAAUGGGAUUGGGUUGCAUGCCUGCAACGGUAUUACAUGUGUACCUAUUCUUCUUAUUUCCUUAUCUUUGCUGGUACUUGAUUUAUGGCAUUCCUUAUAUUUCCCUACUGUUGUACAGUUGUUAUCUGUUACUCCCCGUAGCAUCUUUCCGCCACCCAACUUUAGUUGUAAUUAUCUGUUUCUAUUUCUGCUGUAUAUGAUUUAACUGCAUAAGUUUAUUUGGUAGUUCGGUCCUAGCCUCGUCACUACUUCAUCGAGGUUAGACUAGGCAUUUACCAGUACAUGGGAUCGGUUGUGCUGAUACUACACUUUGCACUGUGUGCAGAUACUGAUACCGGAGCGUUUGGACAGCAGUGAGGGUGAUGUCUUCAGUCCACACAGGCGAUCCGAGGUAGUCCUGCAGACGUCCGCAGGCCUUGGCAUCUCCUCCUAUCUUUUCUUUUUCUGUUUUUACUUAUUCAGAGACAGACUUAUGUAUUUCAUUCAAACCUUGUUUGUAGUAUUCUUAGACAGUCUGUGACUUGUGACACCAAAUUCUGGAUAGUUUUGUACUUCAAAUUAUGUAGCAGUGUUUGGUUGGAAUAUUAAGUUUUGGCUUCCG
rnacentral:lncRNA from 1 species